rnacentral:tRNA from 2 species
GGCGUGUUGGCUUAAUGGUAAAGUGCGGUGUUUCGGCCACCAUAAUAUAAGUUCAAAUCUUAUACACGCUU